rnacentral:rRNA from 1 species
UACGAAGGUGGCAAGCGUUACUCGGAAUUACUAGGCGUAAAGCGCAGGUAGGUGGUUGGGCAAGUCCGUAAUGAAAUCUCCCGGCUUAACUGGGAGGGGUUUAGGGAUACUGCCCGGCUUGAGUGAGGGAGAGGUAACUGGAAUUCCUGGUGUAGCGGUGAAAUGCGUAGAUAUCGGGAGGAACACCAGUGGCGAAGGCGACUACCUGGCCUGUUCUUGACGCUGAGGCGCGAAAGCUAGGGGAGCAAACGGGG